CUAAGGAAUAAUACGGAGGCUACACAUACUUUGUCGAAACAAUGGUCAGUUUUGAGGGGUCUACCCUCAAAGCCUUAUGUGCUGUUUUGGGCGUAUAGCUCAGCUGGUUUAGAGCGCACGCCUGAUAAGCGUGAGGUCGAUGGUUCGAGUCCAUUUAUGCCCAUUGACCGUAAGGUCGAUAUGGGGAAUUAGCUCAGAUGGGAGAGCACCUGCCUUGCAAGCAGGGGGUCAGCGGUUCGAUCCCGCUAUUCUCCAUUGGUGCGAGAGCAUCAAGAUAACUUGUUCUUUGAAAACUAGAUAUUAUCAAUUAUUUUCCUUUAAUUAUUAAAGAUAAUUAAACCGAGAACACCGCGUUUAUUUUGAGUUUUUUAAUUAGUUUUAAAAUUCGCUAAUACUCAAUUAAUCGUUCAUCACGACGUGAUGAAUA
rnacentral:tRNA from 1 species